UUUGAAAACUGUAAUAGUUUAGUUUAAACAUAUUUAUUUAUAGUGGAUUGGAAAACAAGUCAUUGCAACUUAUAUUACUCCCUUUCAACUUUGCGCUUGAGAGUGCUGCCUUGUAGAUUAGUCUUUUCUUUUUUUGAAAUCUACAAUGGUGUCUUUUACAUGCAAAGAGAUAUGGCUCUCUCUUUACCUGGGUCAGCCAAUUAUAAUCCCCUUCCGACAGACUAUCAUUGUUUCUCAAGACCAUGCAUACAAAUGGUGUCACGGGAGAGCCCCAGAAGGGGGAAAGAACCAGGAACCUUUGUGAAAGAAAUUCGAUGUUCUAACAACUACACCAUGGCUCUUCUAAAAACUGUAAUAGAAUGAUAUAGAAAAAAUGAUCAGCAACACAAAGAUCUACAAAUGAGUCCAUCUGAUUGAAAACUACAAAUGAUGACAGAAGUUGUUUCCCCUAGAUUACAAAGUAUGCUUGAACAAUAAGUUACCUUGAAUUGAAUCGAAUGGAAUUGAAAUCACAAUUUUUAUUAGUUUUGGCCUAUUUUAAAUUAAAAACUAUAGUGGGGAGACAGAAACUGUCCAGCAAAAAGAAUCAGAUGAACUAAAUAUAUGCCCACACAAAUUGCAUUGAAUACAAAGGUUUUAGUUGCAUUGAAUCAUUGUUAUGCUUAAAUGCAAUGUGAACAAUGAGCCUUGGAGACCUGGUUUGUUUUUAACUUUUAGGUAUAAUAUCUCAAAAUGGUUUUUAAUUUUCCUUUAUUUAAUGUUAUUUCAGUAAUUUUUGUUUCUGCUACUAGGCUAACUUUGAAAUUUAAUAAGAAGGUUCAAUACCACAUAAGGAAAGUUGGGAUUGAUAAGCAUAUUCCUAGUUUCAGGAUAAUAACUUGUGUAUAAAUAUUUCGAAUGCUCUGAAAUUGUACCACAAUGUUUGAUACCACAAGUAGAAGGUUGAGAUUCAUUUUAGGGGUUAUGGGGCCAACAGUUUAGGAAUUAAGGGGCCAAAAACAAGCACUUUUCUAGUUUCCAGACAAUAACUUGUGUUUAAGUGUAUGGAUCUCUCUGAAAUUGUACUACUAAGGAAAGGCUGGGAUUGAGUUUUGGGGUUAUUGCUCCAAGGGGGUUUCAAAUAGUGGGGGGGGGGGAUUUUUUUUCCCAAUUUUUUUAAGGGAUUCAUAUCUUUUUUAUCAACAUUUUUCAAAUUUCGAAUUUUUGAAAAGUUUCAAGAAACUUUUCAGUUGCACAGUAUUGCACAAUAGAAUUGAAAGAUCUUUGACCACAUUUGUUUUGUGUCAGAAACCUAUAUCAUGUCAAAAAUUUGAUCACAAUCUAAAUUCAGACAGUAUCAAACUUGAAUAUUGUGUCCAAAUUUGUCCCAACUGUUCAGCGUUCUAUCUCUGCGGUUGUAUCAUGCUGCACUCAGCAAAGCAUUUGAUUUACCUUUGUUUUUUAGGUGAUUCAUUUCUGUGUGUUCACUCCUGUUUUUUUGUGAUUUACCACCAUUCCUAGCAAACAUGUAUAUUUAUUGUUAUCAUUGUUCUAUUUUGCUACUGUAUACAUGUAUCAGAAAACUUUAUCUUUACAGUAUUGAAUACAAAUUUUAUUUUUUAGGUAAAUCUUCCUGAGUUAAUUAUAGUUUUGAAUAAAUUAAUCAGUAUCUUGUACUUUAUUUUUUAACAUACAAAAUUCUGAAAGAAUAAGAUCUUCUAAAUAAAGACUUUUUGAGCAAGUCACAUUGAUGUCCCUUCCAGCAACAUAUCUGAAAAAAAUAUUUGUAAAGAAUAGAUUUAAUGUUAAAUGUUUUGGUAAUUUACAUGUUUUUAAGGGUUGCUUUUUGUGACACUGUCAGCAGAUUUUCUGACUAACACUGUAGAGGGUGCUUUGAUAUAAUAAUUUACGUAAUGAAUUGUUUUUGUGCUUCUUUCUACUAUGCAGUAUGACUUUUGAAUAUGUAUGAAUAUGUAAAAAAAG
rnacentral:lncRNA from 1 species